GUCGGGAGGCGGUGACGGAGGAGCUCUCACGCCUUUCUUCAAGUUUUGGUCACGUGACUACACAGGGGGGGUGUUACACGAAGACACACACCCCGCCCUAGCCGGGCCUUCCGUGUAGUCCACAAACCUCACAACGACCUUGUGAAGUAGGUUAGGACGGGAAGCCCAAGGUCAUCCAAGUUGUGCCUCGGAUCAGCAGCGAUCUAAAUCUGGGCUUCCUGUUGACUGGGCCAACUUUCCUCCCUUUUAUGCCAUGCAGAUCUGUUGGAGUUGCACUUCCGUACUGUCUGGGAGUUAUGGGAGUUGCAGUCCUAACACAUCUAGAGGCCACCAGGUUGGGAAGAUUGCUCUAACCACUACACCUCAAUGCAGCCUGUCUCCUUAGGAAAGUUAUGUGGCUAUUUUUAAUCCGUUUUUCAUCAAGAACCAGAAGUGGCUCCUGCUUUCCCUCUUUAUCUGUACGACAACCCUCUGAAGGGGCCCAGGACUGAGAGAGUUAAUGACUGGCCCAAGGUCACCAAGGGGCUUUAUAGAUGGGGCAGGAUUUGAAUCCAACUCUCCCUCCUUGCUCUUCAGGCUCGGUUCUGUGCCCAGCCAAGGUAUCCCGUGACGUCCAUGGGAGAAAAAAGGAGAAUGCUGAAAUAAUCCCUCAUUGAAAUAUAGACCUUUCUGUCCCCUUCCCUCAAAGGAGAACAAACUUGAUGUCCACCAUCUUUCCCCUCCACGAAGCCAACUCAACUGAGAAAAGUGUCACCAUGAUGAACAGCUCAGUCCCUGCUUGGCUUAAUCCAAAUGAAGAAACCUCAGUAGUCAAAAUGUAUUCUGGAAGUCCAAAGUCACAGAUCGAGGUGGCUCAUCAUUCCGCUUGAGAUAUGAGUGAACCACAUUAACUACUUGAGGAGUGAGGAUUCUAGUCCAGGAUUGUGAAUCUAAUUUCAGAGGCAGGAAGUGACAAUGUCUGU